rnacentral:lncRNA from 1 species
UAAAACUUAAAGUAUAAUAAUAAUAAAAAAAGAAAAACAUAUUCAACUGCUACUAAAAUUAUUAGUAUACAUUUAUGAAAUAAUAAUGCCCGAUGACCACUAGACCAGGUGAAGUAGCAAAACUUUGUGUAUUUUUUGCUCUUGACUUACCAGUGAACAUAGAUUCCUUCAGUAAAUAUUGGGAAAACAUUUGCUUCAGGCCCAUUACUGGGUACCGCUUUGAUACAGAGGACACACCAAGGAACAAGACAGAUAGGACCUCUGCCUCUGGUAAGUUUGCAUUCCAGAGGGAGGAGAAGACAAUAAGCAAGCAAGCCAUCAAGACCACGUCAGAUGAGACGAAUAAAGUCAGACAGCUUCCAAGGAGUGGAUGCUUAUGGAGAGAUCACAUGGAGCCUUGUAGCUGAUUUAUAAUCUCAUGGUCCUCAUUCAUACAUCAAACCCCUGAAGGCCUGGCAUUUUUAUCUCCCGACUCAACCUGCAUGCUACCAGAAGCUCGACAAAAUUACGCCUGUUUAGGAAAAGACUGGAGGAAUUCGUGGAGGAAUUCUUGGAGGGGGAACACUGAAGUCCGAAAUACUAUGUGAAAAGAAAGCACAUGUUCUCCUUUUCUGGCUCGGAAGAAUUUUGGAGUGGAUUUAGGCAGACCAGUCUGAACAAACACGCUCGAGGAGCUGAGGCCCGUCAGCACACGCUCAGCAGCUGUGCAUCCAGAUCCGCGUGCUCUCGGCUUGGCCAAAGCAUUGCAAACAACUGAAGUCCUUGCUGCCAGGCAGAUGGUCACAGGACUGUCAGCAGACCCUGAGAGACCUCAACAAUGCCCACAAACUCUAAACAAAUCUACGCAGAGUCUAAUGGUGUCUGCUUGCUUUGCGGCUCUCCAGACUUCCUAAGUUCUGUUUGGUUCUGUGUGUUUGUUGUAGCUGGGAGAGCAGAACUGACCCUGAUAACCACUACACGUAGAAAACAAGUCUAAUAUCCCCCUAACGGACAACUCAAGUGUCUUUCUUGACUACAUGUGGCCUUCAUGAAAACGAUCUUCCUUAUGAUUCUUCCAAAACCUAUUUCCAGGACCACAUAGUUUAGUACUUAGUAUUAUUUUGUCUUGCAGUACUGGUAGACUACUUCUUAUGAGUUACUCUUGUCUCCCUUAUUGUAUUGUCAGCACCUUAAAAGCAAAAACAGUGGCUUGGGCUUGGGUUCAAGGUCUAGAUCCACCUCUUCCAAGCUGGGUGACCUUAAAUUUGAAUGAUGAUAAUACCUGGAGGGUCAUUGUGAUGAUUACAUGAGAUAAUGUAUGUGAAACACUUAGAAUUCAUGGGAAAUACUCAACAGGUUAUUCUUGUGGUGGUGGUAGUAGCAGUAAUGAUGAUUAUGAUUACAUUAUUAAUACAUUCCAGCUGGGUGUGGUGGCUCGUGCCUGUAAUCCCAGCACUUUGGGAGGCCGAGUAGGCAAAUCACCUGAGGUCAG